rnacentral:rRNA from 1 species
GACGAACGCUGGCGGCGUGCUUAACACAUGCAAGUCGAGCGGUAAGGCCCUUUCGGGGGUACACGAGCGGCGAACGGGUGAGUAACACGUGGGUGACCGCCUUUAGCUCUGGGAUAAGCCUGGGAAACUGGGUCUAAUACCGGAUACGACUCCGCGGUGCAUGCUGUGGGGUGGAAAGCCUUGUGCGGCUGGAGAUGGGCCCGCGGCCUAUCAGCUUGUUGGUGGGGUGAUGGCCUACCAAGGCGACGACGGGUAGCCGGCCUGAGAGGGCGACCGGCCACACUGGGACUGAGACACGGCCCAGACUCCUACGGGAGGCAGCAGUGGGGAAUCUUGCGCAAUGGGCGAAAGCCUGACGCAGCGACGCCGCGUGAGGGAUGACGGCCU